AUUUCUCUAGUACAAUUAGUACUAAUGACUUCCAAUCAUUCUAUCUUGGUUUAACCCCAGGGAGAGAUA
rnacentral:tRNA from 1 species